rfam:Myotis lucifugus cont2.2641, whole genome shotgun sequence.
GCAGGGAGGUUGAACAUCCUGCAUAGUGCUGCCAGGAAAUCCCUAUUUAUACUAAGAGUGGGCUGGCUGGUUGCAUAUGUAGGAUGUCCCAUCUCCCUGCCCACUUCGUCG